UACAAGGUGAUUAACCUUGGAAGUAUGGAUGUUGUCUUAUUUUUGCUAAGAAAAGUGGUGUCUCUGUUUAUGUUAUUGACAGUAUUAAUAGUUAAAAGAAGGGGUUUAGGCCAGAUUAAAACUUUAGGCCGGACAUCUAGGGAAGUUCUACAGCUAAAAAUAAUACACUCAACCUCAUUAUGCCAAUCUAAAAGCAACUCGCCUUAUCAUCUUCCUCUUCCUGAAUAAAUACAUUCAUUAAAAUAAUACGAAUGAUAGUUUUGCAUGAAAUUGAAGAUUUUAUUUUGGAAUGUUGGAAUGAUCCUACUUAAGCCUCUUUCAUAGAAACCCUUAUCUCUAUUGGAAAAAAACCUGGGACAGUCAUUUUCACAAACUUCUAAUUAAGCGAAUUUUUCACCAUCAAAAUUAUCCCGCUAUAGAGAGGAACAUGUGGUUAUCACUUGGUGACAGGUCCGGACUAUAAGGUUGAUACAUAAGAAUCUCCCAUCCAAGCUUCUUGAGAUUCACUAUCUAUGUUUGUGGCCCGGCGGUGUCCUAAUGGAACAGAAUUCCUCUCCUUUUGGCCAAAGCUGGCCGCUUCUCGUCAAUCGAUUGCCUCAGAUGGUCCAAUUAUUGACAGUACAUGUCCUAACUAAGAACUUGGCGGUAGGGGAGCAGCUCAUACUGGAUGAUUCCCUUCCAAUCCCACCAAACACAUAGCAAGGCCUUCCCUGCUUGGCCACCGUUUGAAAAGUGACCCAUACCUCGAGCUUCUUUGAGUUGCUCCCAAGGGAUUUUUGCGCAGUUUAGCUUCUGGCCAAUAAAAAUAGUGCUUACUCUACGGUCGAACUUGAUGAUUUCCAUCAUUUUCGACAAUUCGCUUUCUAGAGUGAUGUACAACUUUGAGAUCAAAAUUACCGAAACGGAAUCGACGAAACCAAAGUUGCACGUGAUUGGCUUUUACUAAAGUAUUAGAACCAUAAACACUAUUCACAUUUUUAGCCGUCUAGCUUACGUUUUCGCCUUCAUCGAAGGAAAACUGUGAAAUAUGGCGAUUUUCUCUUUGCUGGUGACCAUUUUUUACGCGCUCUCAAACAAUUCCUAGUCAAACAAUCACAAAGCUGUCAGAGAUUUUUGUAAUACAAAAUUUUAUCUUUCUAAUGCCAUAUAGUGUAAACUGAUCGCACUUAUACAAUAUUAGAUAAACAUUACUAAAACCAUCUAAUAGAAUAAUAAUGGAUUUAUUUUGACUAUAAUUAUUAAUUAAUAAACAGAAUACAUAAUUCUUAAUUAA
rnacentral:lncRNA from 1 species